AAAUGGAGAAGCUCCGGGAAGUGGACACAUCUCCCACGGAGUAAAAGGGCCAGGACUCCAGAGGUUGUGGAGAGCAGAAAGCAUCAACAGAAAGAGAACCGCGAGGAGACAGCUAGCUCAGUGGCGCCCAGUACCAACUGCUAGCUGCCAGGACUGGUAUCUCUGGUCUCCUGCAUCGAAAUCCUGAAGAAGAAAGCCCAGGAACUGAUUGAUAAUAUCAGUGAAUGGAGACAAAAGGAUCAUGUACUUAUGACCAACUUCAGAGACAGCCUGAAGAUGAAGGUUUGAGCUCUGACAGAGGAGUUGGGGAAGAUGUACCAGAUGUACAGCCUCCACAGCAAAAUAUCAUUCAGGAAAGACUACAAGAAUUUACCCAGAAAAUGGCAAAAAUCAGCCAUCUAGAAAUGGAACUCAAACAGGCUGCCAAACUAUAGAAACCGUGUACAAGGACCUAUGCGUCCAGUCUGAGGCUCCCACUUCCAAAGAACAGAAUUACAAGGAUGAUGAAUGCUGA
rnacentral:lncRNA from 1 species